AACUGACUGAGCCACCCCAGGACUCCUAAAACAUUUCAUUCUACAGAGAAUUUGAAUGCUCUGCUGGGGAGAAUGAAGAAGUAGACCCAAAGAUGGUAUCAGUCAACCUCGCUUCUGUCAUUAGAGUAACUCAUCUUUGGUUUUAAAUGUGCAUAACUCAGCAAAGAAGAGAAAAGCACUAUCGUCAAGGAGGUUAUGUGUGAUGUGCAGAUCCCAAGGGGGAAAGAGAAUGGAGGUUCGAACCAUGCUGAGCAAGGCCACAGGGGAAGGACCAAGAUUAAGAGGCAGAAGAAGGAGGGGAAGACAUAGGUGAGAGCCUUUAUUCUUGUUUCCACAGGAAAGAAUGGACACAGCAGGGCUUCAGCUCAAAUACCAGCUUCCAAGAGGAUCCAUCAUGACUAUCCUGCUCAAAGAAGCACUUGCUGUCUGCUGUGAAUCUAAAGUAUCACAGAGAGAGAGAACAUGAGAGAACCGGAGGCAUCAGAGUACUGGCUUCUACCCAAGACCUCAGGAUUUCCUGAACAAGAAAAGACAAUGGGGAAAUGAGUAGGGAGGGCAGCUCAGGGCUAUAAGAAAGAAAGGUUUAUGGGGUUCCUGGGUGGCUCUGUCAGUCAA